UUAUUAUUUACAAGUUAAGAAGACAUAACAAAUAUAUAUGUUACGUCAAGUCAUCGCAUACGUAUGAUCCAUGAUUCUACCAGAUACCAACUUUCAUAGCAACUCGGAUCCUUUGGCAUUUCCUCGAUGUGGGAUUGAAGAAGAAGAAGAUGUCUGUAUCUUCUUCCCUUUGAGAGUUCUGAUCAAAUUGUGUUGGUUCAUAGUUUCACUUUUUCUGGUUUGUAUUAUUUACCUCUUCUUGUCUCUCACUCUCUUUUCAUAUAU